GAAGAGGACCGAGUCUUUCAGAAACCCUUGGGUCAUUGAUCUUCGAGCUUAUGUGGAUGAGAUUCUCUCGACGUUGCUUUAGGAAGUCUCGACAAUCGCGAUAGACGGCUUUUGAUCCUUCCACUCCCUCUGUGAGGAGGUGUUUUCCUCUACUUCUCCUGCUUCGGGUUGAAGCAGCUGGGUUGAGAGAAGUCUCAUGUUGAUUAUCACAUUGAUGUGUAGCUCGAUCCCUAUCAGGGAUGUUCGUGUUGGAUAUCAGUGACCCUCCAUGUUGGGGGGCAUUCAGAUGAUUGUUGACCUUAACAUGGGCGACGAGCUUGUGUGUUUGAGCAUGCCUAGCCUCGUGAAGCAUCUCGAAAAGUUUUUCAUAUUGUUCUUGGAGGACCUCAUUCUUCAUCGCUAUCUUGUUGUUCUGAACCUCUAGCUCAUCGACUUUAGCUUGAAGAGUAACUUUAUUUCCUUCAUGCUUUCGUUGCUUCAUACUAGGUCCAAGGGGGGUGUCAUUCUGUGUGCUAUGACUUCUUUCGCUCCCCAUGUCAGAGAGAGAUGCUUGGCCAAAAGAAAGUGUACGAGCGGUGGAAACCAGCUUGACAAAGUUGUAGAGCGUAGGAAUAAGCGUAUUCCCACAGAUGGCGCCAAAUGUUGAUGCACAAAAUCAGUGAGGACUUUGGUACAACAGAAAGUGUCAGGUUUUGUGACAUUCGCUUGGUUGCUUCGGUCACUAGUGAGGAUAAGUAUGUAAAUGAAUAGAGACAGGGAAGCAAACACAAGAUAUACGUGGUUUACCCAGAUUGGCUACGUCCACGGAGUAGAGGAGUUCUCAUUAAUUGUGAAGGGUUUACACAAAUACAUAGGUUCAAGCUCUCAUUUUGUGAGUUCUAGUGAAUAGUUU
rnacentral:lncRNA from 1 species